rnacentral:tRNA from 1 species
GUUUCUGUAGUUAAAUAACAACGGUGGUUUUUCAAGCCAUUAUUUUUGGUUAGAGUCCUGGCGAGAACC